rnacentral:rRNA from 1 species
UUUUAAAUGGAGACCUGUAUGAAUGGCAUUACGAGGGCUUAACUGUCUCCUUUUUCAAGUCAAUGAAAUUGAUCUCCCCGUGCAGAAGCGGGGAUAAUUCCAUAAGACGAGAAGACCCUAUGGAGCUUUAGACACCAAGGCAUAUCAUGUUACCUACCCCUAAACCCUGGGGAUUAAACCUAUUGAGCAAUGCCCCUAUGUC